rnacentral:tRNA from 1 species
GCCGAAGUGGCGAAAUUGGUAGACGCACUGGACUCAAAAUCCAGCGAGCCUUGCGGUUCGUGUCGGUUCGACUCCGACCUUCGGCACCA